GCUGCCCCUGCCGGGCGCGCGCCCCGCCGGCGGCCCCGCGCGCUCCCGUAGCUCGGCCGGUCGCCACUGGGGCGGCCGCGGCCCGCGUCAGGAUGCGCAUCCGGGACCCCGCGGGGGAGCGCGCGCCCACGGCCCGGCUGGUCGCUCCAGUGAGACAGCCGUCGCGUCAGGCUGCCAGACUUGGACCCCUCGGGGAGCGCGCGCGGGCCACCGAGAGCUCCACUGCUGAAGUCGGAACCCCUACCCCCCGGACUGCCACAGAGCGGCGAGCUCUUUGGCAGAUGGGAGGGACUGAUCACAGUCCUGAGACGCCCCGAAGCACAGUCCCCUUUGAGGAAGCAAAUAUUUGCCAUUUUGGCCUGUUCUGGACACCCUCAAGGAAUGUGUGUCACAUGCAGGACUCAUAAUGUUACAUAUGUAUGUAUUUGUUGGGAUGAGAUCAGCUAUAAAUAGCCACAUACAGAAAUAUAUUACAAGAUGGAUUGCUGCAAAAGACAGAUUGCAAUGAGAGUCAGAAACUGUUAUAUGAAGUAACUCUCAGUGGUAGAGCACUUGCCAGAAACAGAAAAGUAACUAACACACAAUUGGGAGAAGCACAUGCUACUUGAAGAAAUGAUCUUGAAGCGUAGUUAAAUUGAAAAAGAUGACCCAGGUAAGUACAGUCUGGAAGAGAGCUCCUUAAACUUUUUCCCACUUGUGAUCCUUUAGUUCAUGAAAUUUUU
rnacentral:lncRNA from 1 species